rnacentral:lncRNA from 1 species
CACAUCGGCAGCUACCAGCAGCCAAGCAAGACCAACAACAGCAGUCAGGGUUGGGUCCAGAGAUCAGGAGGAUGAUCAGGAGCAGAAGCAGGCAGUAUCAGCAGCAAUAAUUCCAGAGGCAUCAGCAAGGAAUUGAAGAACAUGGGCUCAAUCAGAUGGGCGAGAGAAGUGACUGAUCAUUAGAAAUCAAGGAAUAGGGGCAACUGAGUGGCUCAGUGGAUUUAAAAUCAGGCCUAGAGUCAGGAGGCCCUAGGUUCAAAUCUGACCUCAGACACUUCCCAGCUUUGUGACCCUGGGAACAAGAGUGUUAGUAUACCUUGUACUGACUCAAUUGGGAUGUGUAGAGCAACAAAGCUGCAGUGACUUCCAGCAGACCAUAACAUCUUCAGCUGUAAUAUUUUCUCUACCUUCUUCACCUUUGAUUGCCAAGAAAUCCCCAAGCCAACAAGGAGUCCCUGAGACCUAUUCUUCAAGACCUUUGAAUGACCUUCUGUUCCUUUUGGAUGACUUCCUACAUGAUUUGGUUUGAGAUGGAUUUAUACACCUAGUACUAAACUAGUAACUCACUUCUGAUUAAUAUGGUUACACACACAUUUAAGAUUAUAACUCAGAAUACUAUCUUGUAGUCUGGUUACAUACACAGGCUCUUGCCUGGGACUAUAUUCUUAUUGCAACUUAGAUAGAUAUAAGGUAUCAUAUUAAAGAUAUUCUUAAACUAAUGUAGAUGAGGGACUGCUUAAUUAAAUUUCCUUUU